rnacentral:tRNA from 1 species
AUUCAUAUAGCUUAUUAUUAGAGUUUAAUAUUGAAGAUAUUAAGGAGGUAAAUAUACCUUUGGAUA